AGUGAACGCUGGCGGUAGGCCUAACACAUGCAAGUCGAACGGCAGCACAGUAAGAGCUUGCUCUUACGGGUGGCGAGUGGCGGACGGGUGAGGCAUACAUCGGAAUCUACUUUUUCGUGGGGGAUAACGUAGGGAAACUUACGCUAAUACCGCAUACGACCUACGGGUGAAAGCAGGGGAUCUUCGGACCUUGCGCGAUUGAAUGAGCCGAUGUCGGAUUAGCUAGUUGGCGAGGUAAAGGCCCACCAAGGCGACGAUCCGUAGCUGGUCUGAGAGGAUGAUCAGCCACACUGGAACUGAGACACGGUCCAGACUCCUACGGGAGGCAGCAGUGGGGAAUAUUGGACAAUGGGCGCAAGCCUGAUCCAGCCAUACCGCGUGGGUGAAGAAGGCCUUCGGGUUGUAAAGCCCUUUUGUUGGGAAAGAAAAGCAGCAGGUUAAUACCCCGCUGUUCUGACGGUACCCAAAGAAUAAGCACCGGCUAACUUCGUG
rnacentral:rRNA from 1 species